rnacentral:rRNA from 1 species
AGUAAAGUCGUACAAGGUUCCGUAGGUGACCUGCGGAGGAUCAUUAGUGAAUUGUAAUGGGAGGCUGAUGCUGGCAUCUAUUUCUUUGGCUGCAUGUGCUCGCCCCUUAACAAUCCUUUAUCUUAAACACCAUGUGCACCUUUUGUGAGUGGAGGGGUCCCCAGUUGAUCGCUGGGCCCCACCACACACAAUUAUUACUUCACACUUCUUGCAACAUUGAACGUGUUUGUGCCGUAAGGCUCUUAAUAUUAUACAACUUUUAACAACGGAUCUCUUGGCUCUCGCAUCGAUGAAGAACGCAGCGAAAUGCGAUAAGUAAUGUGAAUUGCAGAAUUCAGUGAAUCAUCGAAUCUUUGAACGCACCUUGCGCUCCCUGGUAUUCCGGGGAGCACGCCUGUUCGAGUGUCGUGAAAUUCUCAAGCUCCAUUAUUACUUUUUUGUAUCUUGGGCUUGGUGUUGGGCUUUGCCGUAUCCUUUGCUUGGGACGGCUGGCCUCAAAAAUAUUAGCUGACCCCCUUAAUGAUGAUGAAUUUGGUUCUUACUCAGCGUGAUAAUGAUCUGACCGCUGAGGACAAUCCCCAUCAAGGAUGGCCAAAUCUCUCUUUGGGUUGCUUCUAAUGUUGUUGUUCAGAUUUACCGAAUCUGUUCCACUUUCAAAUUUGACCUCGAAUCAGGUGGGACUACCCGCUGAACUUAAGCAUAUCAAUAAGCGGAGGAAAAGAAACUAACAAGGAUUCCCCUAGUAACGGCGAGUGAAGCGGGAAAAGCUCAAAUUUAAAAUCUGGCAGUCUUUGAUUGUCCGAAUUGUAAUCUAGAGAAGCGUUUUCCGCGCUGGACGUGUACA